rnacentral:pre_miRNA from 1 species
AAUGUGAUUGAUAGAUCAUAUAGUCUCACUCAGUUUAGCUUUGUAGGAAACUUCCAAAUUAUUUUUAAAGGCUGUGUACUAUUUUGCAUUCCCACCAGCUAU